AACCAUUUAUUCACUACUUGAAACAUUUUUUCAAGCCAAGCAAUCAAUCCGGACUCAACCAUUUAUUUACUACUUGAAUCAUUUUUUCAAGCCAAGCAACCAAUCCGGAUUCAAUCAUUUAUUCAUUACUUGAAUUAUUUUUUCAAGGAGAGAAUUCUCCAAGCAACUAAUCCGGAUAUAAGCAAACAAUCCGGAUCCAAUCAUUUAUUCACUACUUGAAACAUUUUUUCAAGCCAAGCAACCAAUCCGGACUCAAUCAUUUAUUUACUACUUGAAACAUUUUUUCAAGCCAAGCAACCAAUCCGGACUCAACCAUUUAUUUACUACUUGAAUCAUUUUUUCAAGCCAAGCAACCAAUCCGGAUCCAACCAUUUAUUCACUACUUGAAACAUUUUUUCAAGCCAAGCAACCAAUCCGGAUCCAACCAUAUAUUCACUACUUGAAACAUUUUUUUUCAAGCCAAGCAACCAAUCCGGACUCAACCAUUUAUUUACUACUUGAAUCAUUUUUUCAAGCCAAGCAACCAAUCCGGAUCCAACCAUUUAUUCACUACUUGAAACAUUUUUUCAAGCCAAGCAAUCAAUCCGGAUCCAACCAUUUAUUUACUACUUGAAUCAUUUUUUCAAGCCAAGCAACCAAUCCGGAUUCAAUCAUUUAUUCAUUACUUGAAUUAUUUUUUCAAGGAGAGAAUUCUCCAAGCAACCAAUCCGGAUAUAAGGAAUCAAUCCGGAUUCAACCAUUUAUUUAUUACUUGAAUUAUUUUUUCAAGGAGAGAAUUCUCCAAGCAACUAAUCCGGAUAUAAGCAAACAAUCCGGAUCCAAUCAUUUAUUCACUACUUGAAACAUUUUUUCAAGCCAAGCAACCAAUCCGGACUCAAUCAUUUAUUUACUACUUGAAACAUUUUUUCAAGCCAAGCAACCAAUCCGGACUCAACCAUUUAUUUACUACUUGAAUCAUUUUUUCAAGCCAAGCAACCAAUCCGGAUCCAACCAUUUAUUCACUACUUGAAACAUUUUUUCAAGCCAAGCAACCAAUCCGGACUCAACCAUUUAUUUACUACUUGAAACAUUUUUUCAAGCCAAGCAACCAAUCCGGACUCAACCAUUUAUUUACUACUUGAAUCAUUUUUUCAAGCCAAGCAACCAAUCCGGAUCCAACCAUUUAUUCACUACUUGAAACAUUUUUUCAAGCCAAGCAAUCAAUCCGGACUCAACCAUUUAUUUACUACUUGAAUCAUUUUUUCAAGCCAAGCAACCAACCCGGAUUCAAUCAUUUAUUCAUUACUUGAAUUAUUUUUUCAAGGAGAGAAUUCUCCAAGCAACCAACCCGGAUAUAAGCAACCAAUCCGGAUUCAAUCAUUUAUUCAUUACUUGAAUUAUUUUUUCAAGGAGAGAAUUCUCCAAGCAACCAAUCCGGAUAUAAGCAACCAAUCCGGACUCAACCAUUUAUGUACUACUUGAAAUAUUUUUUAAAGGCAAGAAUUCUUCAAGCAACCAAUCCGGACUCAACCAUUUAUGUACUACUUGAAAUAUUUUUUCAAGCCAAGGAACCGAUCCAGAGUAUAAUACUAUAUUGUACUUACAAUUACCAUUCUACAAGUGACCAAUACCGGACCCAGCUAUCCACCUAAGGCAAGGAUUUAUUCAACAGCCAAAUCGGGUUACUUCCCAAUUAUUACUUGGAAAAAUAUUCCAAGGCAAGAGGAGCAGCAGAAAAGAGGUCUAGCAUGAUCCGGACUCGCUUCACACAUCUAAGACGCAAAAACUCUUUCAAAAGAGAUUGGAUAACCCGGACCCUGCAUUAUCACUACCAACCUGCCAAGCUAUCCAGAUCAUAUGACAAAAAAGAAAAAUAAAAUACAAGC
rnacentral:lncRNA from 1 species